GAUGAACGCUGGCGGCGUGCCUAACACAUGCAAGUCGAACGAGUGGCGGACGGGUGAGUAAUGUCUGGGAAACUGCCUGAUGGAGGGGGAUAACUACUGGAAACGGUAGCUAAUACCGCAUACCAUCGGAUGUGCCCAGAUGGGAUUAGCUAGUAGGUGGGGUAACGGCUCACCUAGGCGACGAUCCCUAGCUGGUCUGAGAGGAUGACCAGCCACACUGGAACUUGUACACGGUCCAGACUCCGACGGUAGGCAGCAGUGGGGAAUAUUGCACAAUGGGCGCAAGCCUGAUACAGCCAUGCCGCGUGUAUGAAGAAGGCCUUCGGGUUGUAAAGUACUUUCAGCGGGGAGGCGUUACCCGCAGAAGAAGCACCGGCUAACUCCGUGCCAGCAGCCGCGGUAAUUC
rnacentral:rRNA from 1 species